rnacentral:rRNA from 1 species
CGAGCACGCGCGUGUGGCAUAUCAAUAAGCGGAGGAAAAGAAACUAACAAGGAUUCCCUUAGUAACGGCGAGUGAAGCGGGAAGAGCUCAAAUUUGAAAUCUUCAAGGUUCUACCUUGACGAAUUGUAGUUUAUAGAAGUGUUUUCUGUUAGUGGAGUGGCAAAAGUUCUUUGGAAUAGGACAUCAUAGAGGGUGAGAAUCCCGUAUUUGGUCAUUCCUCCUAGCGUUGUGAUACACUUUCAACGAGUCGGAUUGUUUGGGAAUGCAGUCCAGAAUGGGUGGUAAAUUUCAUCUAAAGCUAAAUAUUGGCGAGAGACCGAUAGCGAACAAGUACCGUGAGGGAAAGAUGAAAAGAACUUUGAAAAGAGAGUUAAACAGUACGUGAAAUUGUCAAAAGGGAAGCGUUUGACACCAGUGUUGUUUUUCCGAAAAUCAAUUACGAAUGUUUUAGUUUUUGAGGAGUUAUGACUUCAUCGGCUUGCUCCUUUCUUUAUGAAACUUUCUUAAUGCACUUUUCGGUUAACAAGUCAACAUCAAUUUCUUUUGUUGUAAAAGGGUAUGAGGAAGGUGGCUUUCUUUUCGGAGAAAGUGUUUAUAGCCUUGUGCCUCUGCAAUCGGAGAGAUUGAGGUCUGCAGCGUAGAUCCUUCGGGGUUAGAUACGUUUGUGCUAAGUUAUAGCUUUUCAUAGACAACUUGUUGACUAUGUUUAGUCUUGUAGCCUACUCGCUUACGCUAUUUUACCUACGCUUAGGAUGUUGAUGUGAUACUGCGAGCA